rnacentral:tRNA from 1 species
GCCCCGGUGGCCGAGUGGUGAAGGCGUUGGGCUGCAGACCCAAUCUUCCCGGGUUCGAAUCCCGGCCGGGGCUCCA